GACGAACGCUGGCGGCGUGCUUAACACAUGCAAGUCGAACGGUGAAGCGCCUUCCUUUUUGGUGGGUGUGGAGGAGUGGCGAACGGGUGGGUAACACGUGAGUAACCUGCCCCCUUCUUCUGGAUAACCGCAUGAAAGUGUGGCUAAUACGGGAUAUUCUGGGUCUGUCGCAUGAUGGGUCUGGGAAAGAUAUUGUUUCGGUGGGGGAUGGGCUCGCGGCCUGUCAGCUUGUUGGCGUGGUGAUGGCCUACCAGGGCGGUGACGGGUAGCCGGCCUGAGGGGGUGGACGGUGACAGAGGGGGUGAGACGCGACCAAGACACUGAGAUGAGGCAGCAGCGGGGAAUAGAGGAAGCUGGGGGCAAGACUGGAGCAGCGAGGCAGCGUGAGUGAUGGAGGCCUGCGGGUUGUAAGCAGCUUUCGCGAGUGAAGAGUGCUUGCCGCGUGUGUGGAUGGGUUGACGGUAGCUGGAGAAGAAGCGCCGGCUAACUACGUG
rnacentral:rRNA from 1 species